UACGUAGGGUGCGAGCGUUGUCCGGAAUUAUUGGGCGUAAAGAGCUCGUAGGCGGUGUGUCACGUCGGCCGUGAAAACCUGCAGCUUAACUGUGGGCGUGCGGUCGAUACGGGCAUCACUGGAGUUCGGCAGGGGAGACUGGAAUUCCUGGUGUAGCGGUGAAAUGCGCAGAUAUCAGGAGGAACAUCAGUGGCGAAAGCGGCUUCCUGGACCAGUACCGACGUUCAGGCACGAAAGCGUGGGGAGCAAACAGG
rnacentral:rRNA from 1 species